rnacentral:rRNA from 1 species
AUUGAACGCUAGCGGCAGGCCUAACACAUGCAAGUCGAGCGCGCGGCGGACGGGGGAGUGAUGUCUGGGAAAAUGCCUGAAGGAGGGGGGUAACUACUGGAAACGGUAGCUCAUACCGCAUACCAUCAGAUGUGCCCCGAUGGGAUUAGCUAGUGGGUGGGGUAACGGCUCACCUAGGCGACGAUCCCUAGCUGGUCUGAGAGGAUGACCAGCCACACUGGGACUGAGACACGGUCCAGACUCCUACGGGAGGCAGCAGUGGGGAAUAUUGCACAAUGGGCGAAACCCUGAUGCAGCCAUGCCGCGUGUGUGAAGAAGGCCUUCGGGUUGUAAAGCACUUUCAGCGGAGAGGCGUUACCCGCAGAAGAAGCACCGGCUAACUCCGUGCCAGCAGCCGCGGUAAUUC